CUUUAUUGGAGAGUUUGAUCCUGGCUCAGGAUGAACGCUGGCGGCGUGCCUAAUACAUGCAAGUCGAGCGAAUGGAUUAAGAGCUUGCUCUUAUGAAGUUAGCGGCGGACGGGUGAGUAACACGUGGGUAACCUGCCCAUAAGACUGGGAUAACUCCGGGAAACCGGGGCUAAUACCGGAUAACAUUUUGAACCGCAUGGUUCGAAAUUGAAAGGCGGCUUCGGCUGUCACUUAUGGAUGGACCCGCGUCGCAUUA
rnacentral:rRNA from 1 species